GUUGCAUGACAAGGGCUGUAUCCCGAGUAAAAGUUUCACCAGCUGACAGGGUUGAGCAAGAGAAGGGAGCUUAUUGAGCUUUGUGAAAAUUUGCGGGAAUAAAGCACGGAUUUGCUGCGUGGCACCCAAAAGAUCAUCUCAAAAUGAACACGUUUCUAUUCAACGCCGUUAUGGUCAUCCUUUUGACAGCAAAGCUCGGACAAAAUUUUCCUAUCAUUAAUCAGAAACUUCCGUCCACCUAUGAUGAUACAGAAUGUCCCCCCGGAUUCUUGCCAUGCGUUUCAGAAAACAAAGGGAAGGUUUCUAAUGCAAGUUCAGUCGAGGCAUCUACUCUGACAGGAUUACCUUCUAAUACAACUGAACAGCAAAAGACACCCGAGGCCCCUUCAGUAGGAAGUAUGGGAGAAAUAGGGAACUCAGAGACCAAGAGCUUGCAGCAUGGUAACCACUUAUGUCCCCCAGGAGUCUGGGUUUGUUGAGCAAAGUGUGCAGUCAGAGGACCAUCGCAACUAACCUUUUCGUAAUCAGAUGUGGUGGAAUUUAAGGCGUGUUAUUUGUUAGAGUAGGAAACCGAAGGACUUCAUGUUAUUUUGUUACUUGUUGUUGGAAUGUUCGUUUGCCAGAUGCGAAUUUUCGCAACGAGUAGGUAACGGCUUUGGUCGUAAAAAUGUGUCAUUCAUUUGAAGUCACAUGAGUUGAGGAGUGAUAUAUUUCUUAAUAGUAUUAAGAGGUGUUGCACGUAUCUAUUUGUUCAUGUGUGUUCUGAGUUCUGUUUUAUCCCGUUGCAGAAGUUGUGUUCGCGCGCAAACUUUUGACAAUUUAUUAGCGACAUUCAUGUGGUAAUUAAUAGUAUGUGGCAGCAGUAUUUAUUUAUUUAUUAUUAUUUUUUUUUUUUUGCAAUCUCUCAAUUAAGUUUCAACCACAUAGUUGACUGGAAUGUUUCACAUACAAUUGUGACAGCUAGGAGUUGAGAAAAUGGAUAAGUGAAAUACAUCUGUAGAUCUUGAGGUAAAACUGGCGAGUUGCAACGGGCGCUUGUGAGAGAAGGCGCGCGAGUAACGCGCAAGGUGACCUCGCGAUGACUAUUACGUAACAUAAUAUAGAUUUCAUCUUCAUUUUUCUUGGCCAAUCCCGUUCCUAAGGAGCCAACGAAGCAUAAAGCUCAACUCCAAAGGUGCAAUUCAAAGUAGGAGUAUGGCUUAUUCGAAGUUUCUCUUAAUAAUAAAACAGUUCCAGUUUAGUGAAACAAUGCGAUAGUUGUCAAAGCAAAGUGAUUUUCAAAAUCGAGACGCCGACGUUGUUAAACAAGGUCUCGGUGACUUUACUGGAUGUUAUCUUUGGUAGUGUCUGAAUAUAUUUUUGAUACAGAAUCACCUCAUUCUCUACUGAUUUUAUAGUAACUCUGCAAGAGGGCGAAUCGAGUUGACUUUCGACAUUUGCAAUUAAGCACGUUUGUCAAUCGAAUGCAUUUUCAUAUCCUUUACCGAAGUUUCCUUUGGAACUGCAUCUCUUACAAUUCCACUCCUGUUGUAGACGAAUUGGUCUGACAAAAUAAAAUGCUUAUCCUUUUUA